rnacentral:lncRNA from 1 species
CUAUUCGAAUGGCAAAUUGGUUUAGAAGGCUGGUCAUCACUAUGGAAAAUGUGAAGCAAUUAGUUUUUGAAUUUGGGAUCUUGAGUAUCAAUUACUAAGUCCUUUGUUAAAUGUGAAGUAAUUAGUUUUUGAAUUUGAGACCUUGGGUAUUAAUUACUAAGUCUUUUGUUAAAUGUUAAAAUUGAUAGUUAAUGGUAUUGUUAUUUUUUAUUGAGUUUUUAGCUAAAUUUAGAAUAAUGAUAGUUAAUGU